rnacentral:rRNA from 1 species
UACGGGGGGAGCAAGCGUUGUUCGGAUUUACUGGGCGUAAAGGGCGCGUAGGCGGCCAGCACAAGUCAGUUGUGAAAUCUCCGAGCUUAACUCGGAAAGGUCAACUGAUACUGUGCGGCUAGAGUGCGGAAGGGGCAACUGGAAUUCUUGGUGUAGCGGUGAAAUGCUUAGAGAUUACAUGGAAUACCAAUUGCGAAGGCAGGUUACUACUAAUGGAUUGACGCUGAUGGACGAAAGCGUGGGUAGCGAACAGG